rnacentral:rRNA from 1 species
UACAGAGGUCUCAAGCGUUGUUCGGAUUCAUUGGGCGUAAAGGGUGCGUAGGCGGCGCGGUAAGUCGGGUGUGAAAUCCCUCAGCUUAACUGGGGAACUGCGUCUGAUACUGGAUGGCUUGGAUUCGGGAGAGGAAUGCGGAAUUCCAGGUGUAGCGGUGAAAUGCGUAGAUAUCUGGAGGAACACCGGUGGCGAAGGCGGCAUUCUGGACCGACAUUGACGCUGAGGAGCGAAAGCCAGGGGAGCAAACGGG